CCUGGCGGCACUAGCGCGGUGGUCCCACCUGACCCCAUGCCGAACUCAGAAGUGAAACGCCGUAGCGCCUGUGAGAGUAGGGAACUGCCAGGC
rnacentral:rRNA from 1 species